CAACCGCCAAUUACACCGCAUGUGCAGGAAUUGACACCCUCUGAUACACUCUAUAUCCAUGUAUCUUAUUACUGAAUCAUUUCAUUUCAUCAAUCUUCACAUAACCAGGAAGAUCCAAAGAUGCCAACUUAACAUGUUGGAAUUAUCAAUAUCUGUUUUGUAUGUUUAAAACUUGGUACAACAUCCUGCUUUUGACACGUUCGUCCACUUACAAGUCCCUGAAGUUUUCCAUGUGUACCAUCUGAUGACUCGGCAGCUCUGAGGUGUUGAGGGGUGUUUCAUGUCUCAUGGCUCAGUUUCUGCCUGAAAUACCCGCUAACACCUUCUAGUUGAACGAUGACUCGGUUGUAUUCACAAACAUUUUCUAGGGUAAUUGUAUUUGGUCAACGUCUUUAGGGGAUUGUUGUGAAAGAUUUUAAUACAGGAAGUAUGUAUCUUCCGAGAACGCAUUUGGUUAAAACGUCACCUCAACAAAAUAUUUCGGUUGACAUUCAUGAUACAUUGAGAAUAUUCCCAAUCAUGUGCGGUGUAAGGAAGGAUGUUGGCAGUAUCUACCACUGACGUCUAUGGAUGUUGAACAGAACUAAGUGAUAAGGCACCCUUGACGCAGCUGUACACAGCCCCGCCAACCACACCCGUCUACCACACCCGUCUACCACAUCCGUCUCCUUCAACUGUCACCGCUCUUAAUCUAUGGCAUUUCCCCCGAAUAUCAAUGGACUAGUGUGGACCAAGCUUCUGUCCUCCACGAUGUUUCUGAACUCUCAAGGAGUGAAGUGUCCCAACAGCCAUGCUGCUCCAAUAUCUGCGGUUGUCACCCUAAAGUCUACAACACGACAAUCUGUAUAGUCAUAGUUACAAAGGAUGCUGACAACAUCAGAUAUCAGUUGAUACAGUUAACUCAGUCUUCAAUUCAAAUCCCUUCUCCUAGAUCAGUUAUAAUUGUCUUUCAACGUCACCUGUUUUGGGGUACAACGUGAUUCUUACUUCCCUGUUCUAUUACCACUUACUCCAAAGCCGUCAUAUGAAAUUUAUUUUGGUCUCUAUCGGGGUGAUGGAUAUAUACAGGUGUAGUUGAGCCAUGCUGCCCUGGAUAUAUACAUCUGAAUACAAAUAAG